CAAUAGCGUAUAUUAAAGUUGUUGCGGUUAAAAAGCUCGUAGUUGGAUUUCUGUUGGGAACGACCGGUCCGCCCAUUGGGUGUGUAUCUGGCUUGUUCUCGGCAUCUUCUUGGUGAACGUUGCUGCACUUGACUGUGUGGAGCGCUACCCAGGACUUUUACCUUGAGGAAAUUAGAGUGUUUCAAGCAGGCAUAUGCCUUGAAUACAUUAGCAUGGAAUAAUAAGAUAGGACCUCGGUUCUAUUUUGUUGGUUUCUAGAGCUGAGGUAAUGAUUAAUAGGGAUAGUUGGGGGCAUUCGUAUUUAACUGUCAGAGGUGAAAUUCUUGGAUUUGUUGAAGAUGAACAACUGCGAAAGCAUUUACCAAGGAUGUUUNCAUUA
rnacentral:rRNA from 1 species